CUGGCCGCAAACGAUGAACACUAGAUGUUGGGGGAAUCGACCCCCUCGGUGUCGUAGCUAACGCGUUAAGUGUUCCGCCUGGGGAGUACGCACGCAAGUGUGAAACUCAAAGGAAUUGACGGGGGCCCGCACAAGCGGUGGAGUAUGUGGUUUAAUUCGAUGCAACGCGAAGAACCUUACCAAGGCUUGACAUCCUGCGAAUCUCCAAGAAAUUGGAGAGUGCCUUUUGGAACGCAGUGACAGGUGGUGCAUGGCUGUCGUCAGCUCGUGUCGUGAGAUGUUGGGUUAAGUCCCGCAACGAGCGCAACCCACGUUUUUAGUUGCCAGCAUUCAGUUGGGCACUCUAGAAAGACUGCCGGUGACAAACCGGAGGAAGGUGUGGACGACGUCAAGUCAUCAUGCCCCUUACGCCUUGGGCUACACACGUACUACAAUGCUGCGGACAAAGAGUAGCGAUCUUGCGAAAGUUAGCUAAUCUCGUAAACCGUGGCUCAGUUCAGAUCGUAGGCUGCAACUCGCCUACGUGAAGGAGGAAUCGCUAGUAAUCGCAGGUCAGCAUACUGCGGUGAAUACGUUCCCGGGCCUUGUACACACCGCCCGUCACACCAUGGAAGUUGGCCAUGCCCGAAGUCGUUACUCUAACCUUUUGGAAGAGGGCGCCGAAGGCAGGGCUAAUGACUGGGGUGAAGUCGUAACAAGGUAGCCGUAGCGGAAGCUGCGGCUGGAUCACCUCCUAA
rnacentral:rRNA from 1 species